rnacentral:rRNA from 1 species
GACGAACGCUGGCGGCGUGCCUAACACAUGCAAGUCGAACGGUGAAGCACCGUCCUUUUGCUGGGUGGGGGUGCGUGGCGCGGGUGUGUGUAACAUGGGAGUAACCCGCCUCCUUCGUCGGGAUCACCGCAUGAAAGUUUGUCUUAUACCAGAAAAUCUUGGUCCGUAGCAUGUCGGGCCUGGGGAAGCUAUUGCUUCGGUGGGGGAUGGGCUCGCGGUUUAUUAGCUUGUUGGUGGGGUGAUGGCCUACCAAGGCGGUGAGGGGUAGCCGGCCUGAGAGGGUGGCCGGUCACAGAGGGACUGAGACACGGACCAGACUCCGACGGGAGGCAGCGGUGAGGAUUAGUGAACGAUGGGAGCAAGCCUGAUGCAGCGACGCCGCGUGAAGGAUGGUGGCCGGCGGGUUGUAACCGUCUUUCGCGAGUGAAGCAGGCCUGUCUCUUUUGUGGGUGGGUUGACGGUAGCUGGACAAGAAGCGCCGGCUAACUACGUG